ACACCCUUUCCUAUGCUGACAUAUUUCUCUCUGGGUCUGUGUUUUGAUAGACACAGGGAUCACAUUUCUAAAAAGAAGAUUCUGCUGAAGGGAUCUUUCAAGAGCCUCAAAAGUGGGACUAUUUCAUGAACCAACUCGUAGUGACAAGCCCUGCCCCUGCAAGUGAGAAGGGGAGCGCUUCCCAGUCAAGCUCCAUGUGUCAAGAUUGGAUGCCAUGUAUAUUCAUUUCUCUGCCAGGCAGAAUGCUGCAGUCUGCUGUCUUCAAGACCACUCACAAAUGAGCUCUGUUUCCCUGACUCUUUUUAAACCUGCUUCCCACCGUUAAAGUUCAUGCGGUGACGUGAAGAGAGAUGAAGAAACUGAGGCACAGUGAGGUCGAGUCGCCUGCUCACGGUUACAUGGCUGACCAGUGAAACAGCUGUUUCUCACCUCAGCUGUGCUCUUCCAUAGGAUGCUGCCUCCUCUGAAUCCCAGAGGAACGACCAGAUUCCGCACUCAGCCCAGUUUCACAGCUUGGGGGCUGGACGCCAGACAGGAGUGGCUGCAUGUGGAGAUCUGCCCACCUUGUAAGAAGUAUUGACAAUGAGUGCAGGUUUUGCUAAGCUAUAGUAGGGUAGUAAUGAAGACAGAGCAGGUUCCUCCCAUGAUAUUUGAUCAUUCUGAGUCCCAGAAAUAACCCUCGUGCAAGUAGGGGUCACAUUAUUCGCCUUGGCUAAACUCACCAAGCUGGGUUUUGUAGGCAGUAGAGUUCAGUGGUUAAGCUUUUAAGUCAAAGAGUACUGAAUGUAAGGCCUGGCUCAGCUGCCUGCUGCUGUGUGAGAUCUUGGGCUAAUUAUUUAACUGCUGGGUUACUCAGUUUCCUCACCUGUAAAAUAGGGCAUAAUAAAAGUCUCCAUGUCAUAGAAUAGUUAUGAAAUUAAGUGAGAUAAUUACAUGGAAAUUACUUGGUAUAUCUGGCACCUAUUAAGUGGUAGUAUUAUACAAAUGUUAGUACAAAAAUUUGUGCUAAUUAUGGGAUAUUUAAUGACCAGUAGCAUGUUGGCUCUUUCAGGGAGCAAUGCAAAGCAAAAGAGUAGAGCUGAGAAGUGAAUGUCCAUCUACUUUGCCAAGCAAAGUGCAGUCCUUAAGAAUUUACUCCACUGCCUGAAGUUGCAUGGCUGGCCACCUAGUUCUCCAAAGGAUUCCACUAGGUACGAGCACAAGACAGGGUUUGCAGUUUUCACACCCAGUAAUUAGGGCUGAUGGCUCAAUAGGAUUAUUUUGUAUAGCAAACCCAAUAUCCUCUUUACUAUUCUUUUCAGCUUUCUGAUUUCCAAUUGAAAAAAAAAAAAAACCUUCAAUGAUAAAUUUGGUCAAAAGGCUUAUUUUAUGACUAGUGCCUGUUGCCAAAGAGCUGAUAUUUCUCACAAAUCCUGAGCUGUGAGUUGUGACAGCCAGUGCUUGGGUGAAGUUAGCACCUGCCUCAUCCCCAGGGAGAAGAAGUGAGGACGUGAUUUUCCCGACUGAGUCCAUUACAACACAUGUGCCCUGACCCCUGGGAUUUGGGGAGGGGGAUUCCCAAUCUGCCAGUUCAUUUAAGCUUCCAACUUCACAGAUUCCAGAUUCAGAUACAGGGAGCCUUCAAAUGAGUUCUGUGGAAACCAGACUUCAUUGUAAAGUUCUCUAUUAGCUGCAAAACAAACAAAUAUGUACAAAUAAAGUCCAUUUUAAAGUAA